UUUUAAAAUUUGUGAACAGUCACAUUUUAAGGGUCCGAUCUGUGUUCUUCUGUCACGAAUCUCGGCGCCGCGUUGAGUCUUUUUCCCCCUCAUUUAGGCUGGUUUGGCCUUAGUCAACAUACCUUUUCAGGAUUAUUUAUUUUUGGAAUUUCAUUUCCCCGUAGUCUCCCAGUCUGUCUGCACUGCCUCGGGAGAGAAAGGGAGCAAACAGAGGCGCCAUGGCGGAGAGGUCGGCGGCGACCCCGCAGCCGGUGCGACCGGCAGAGGAAGGGAGUGCUGCUGCGCAGGCCGGCGCCACUUCCUUGGAAGAUGGAGGUGUCUCCGCAGCCUUCUCCGGCAACGUCGGGUUGCGCUGUGGAUCGGGAGUUUGUUCGAUCUGCGGCGGCGAGGACAGCGAUUCGCGAUAGUCGAAGUCAUGACCGCCGCUUUUGAGACGGUAGUUUCGAUGUGCGGAGCCGAUGCCACCAGCCGCUUCACUGUCAUGGCAAACCUGCAGAGUGCAGUGUUGAAGACGAAGGUUGUUGAGCACUGAGCAGGAGUCCGAGCUCGCCGAUGUUGGAUUAUGGUUCAUACUAGUUUAAUUUCAUCUGUGUUUGAGUUCUCUGUUGCUGAGCUCCAUCUAUAGUUUAGGUUUCAGGUUUGUUGUAUAAGAUUGUUUAAUUUAUAUUAGGACUUAGUUUAUUUUGAGGGUAUAUUAGUCUUACUUUUCUUGAGCAGAUUUCUCAUGUUUUCAUGGUGUGCUCACGCCUUGAAUACAUUAGGUUUUAGUUCUGUGGUUUCAGCAUGAUUUUUUUCAUGAUGUAUGAUUCUAUUACUUACUUUUUUUAGAGGUAUUCUGUUACUUACUUGA